CGGAAAGAGAGGGAGUCGAACCCUCGGUAGCCCAACGACUACGCCGGUUUUCAAAACCGGUGCAUUAAACCACUCUGCCACCUUUCC
rnacentral:tRNA from 1 species